GGGAAUUUCAGGGGGGUACCGAGGUUUGAGGGGCAAAGGGGAGGGGGGUCCAAGGACAUUUUGGGGUGCUGCAGAACAGCGGGGGGGCUGUGGGGGUUUAGGGGGACUGAGCACCCCAUAGAGGGGGACAUUGCCCCCACAGCCACCCUGAGCCCCUCCUGCGGCGGUUUUGGGGUGAGGGGACAUUCCCUGGGAGCUGCACAGGGAUGGGGGCCACAGGGGGGCCUCACUUUUGGGGGGAAGGAAGGGGGUGGGGCAGUGUCCCCCCAAACCUGUCCUCUGCCCCUCCAGCCAUGACCCCACCCCAUCCCAUUGAUCCCAUUGAUCCUGUUGAUGUUAUUGAUCCCAUCCCAUUGAUGCCAUCCUGUUCAUCCUGUUGACCCUAUUGAUUCCAUCCCAUUGAUCCCAUCCCAUUAAUCCCAUCCCAUUGAUCCAAUCCCAUUGAUCCUGUUGAUAUUAUUGAUCCCAUCCCAUUGAUGCCGUCCUGUUGAUCCUGUUGACCCUAUUGAUUCCAUCCCAUUGAUCCAAACCCAUUGAUCCAGUCCCAUUGAUCCCAUAGAUCCUGUUGAUGUUAUUGAUCCAAUCCCAUUGAUCCUAUCCCAUCCCAUUGAUCCUAUUGAUCCCAUUGAUCCUGUUGAUGUUAUUGAUCCAAUCCCAUUGAUCCUGUCCCAUCCCAUUGAUCCCAUUGAUCCCAUUGAUCCUGUUGAUCCUAUUGAUUCCAUCCCAUCCCAUUGAUCCCAUCCCAUCCCACUGAUCCCAUUGAUCCCAUCAAUCAUGUUGAUACUAUUGAUCCCAUCAAUCCUGUUGAUACUAUUGAUUCCAUCCCAUUGAUCCCAUCCCAUUGAUCCUGUUGAUGUUAUUGAUCCAAUCCCAUUGAUCCUAUCCCAUCCCAUUGAUCCCAUCGAUCCCAUUGAUCCUGUUGAUGUUGUUGAUCCAAUCCCAUUGAUCCUAUCCCAUCCCAUUGAUCCCAUUGAUCCUGUUGAUGUUAUUGAUCCAAUCCCAUUGAUCCUAUCCCAUCCCAUUGAUCCCAUUGAUCCCAUUGAUCCUGUUGAUGUUAUUGAUCCAAUCCCAUUGAUCCUAUCCCAUCCCAUUGAUCCCAUUGAUCCCAUCCCAUCCCACCCCAUGGGAUGCAGGUCUUGGGGGGUCUCGUGCCCCCAAGCCCCCCAUUGUUUUGUAUUGUUAUC
rnacentral:lncRNA from 1 species